GCUCCUUGCCCGGGCAUAUCGCCAGCGGAGCCAGCUCUGCUCUGGUUUUUCAGGGCCUUUGCCAUUCCCUGGGGGCCGGUUCACAGCGGUGGGGGGAGGACGAGGGCACGUGCUAUCCUGUCACGGUGCCACCUCCCCGGUUUGGGAUCUUUCAGGGCUCGCAGGUAGCAACGGGGGCCGAGACUCAGAGGGACGGGGGAGCGCAGCGGGGACUGCCCCGGGCUCCGCGCCGCGCUGGAGACAGAGUAAAACCCGGCAUUUCUCCAUAACCGUCCGUACAUCGCCCUCUAGAGGCCCGAAGGGAGCUGACCCGGGAGGGCGAACAGACCCCCUUCGCCCACUCCCCAGCAAGGGCCGCCGCGAUGGGCCCAGAGAGCCAGGGCCGGCCGGGGCGCUGGCUGAGCGCACAGGCGAGGCUGGUUCUAGGCCCCGCAUCCAAGGGCGAGCAGACAAGCCCGGCUGGAGGAGGGGCUCUGCGCGCCUGCCCUGGAGCCGCUUGGCCGGGCGAGUUGGCGUUGCUGGGAGCUACCAGCGAGUCGCACGGGCAGGGGACGGUGGGGAGCCCUGCAGGAGAGCCGCGUGGCUCCGGCUCCAGCUGGCCCCGAUCCUGGGAAAGCAGCGCCCGUCGGAGCUCAUCUUACAUCCCCGUCCAGAGCGCGCCAGCAGCGUGCGAUCGGCAAGACCCGGCCUAGGUGCUCUGCGCCCCCCGACCUCCCCAGCAUUAUUCUCUCCAGUUUCUAAGGAGCCACAUGCCAGAGGGACAAGACCUGCAAUGUGUAGGGGAACCCUGGAAUAGGGAACCAGUCCAAUAUUGGAUACUACCUAAAGAAAGACACCCAGUGGCACCUGCCAUAGGUGCUGCUGAUGGGUCAAGCACCACACUAAGCACAGUGCUGACCUUCAGAGGUGCCGGGCACAGCAUGUAGAAGAGUGGACACUUUUAGAGAGAAGACCACUACCCAAGUGCAUGGGGCGGAAGAGGGAGCAGCCAACAGAAGCUGUUGCAAAUGCAGCCAUCUAAGAGAGAAGGCAAACCUAGCAGCCAGACUGUGAGGAUGCAGGACAAGCAUGUAGCGUGGGGAGCCUGCACUGAGAAGCCCUGUAGCACACCCCUCACCUUAGCCAGGGAAAGAGAAUUAGUUACAUGAAAGUGGGGGACACACUAGGCAGAAGUGUUAGAGUCUGGUGUGCAGUCACAUGUCUGAGGCACUGUGAUGCUGGCAAACCAGGUGCCAGCCUAUACCGAGGUCCCCGUGCCUCACUUGGAUACUGACAAACACAGAGCUGGAAUCAGCCUGGUUCACUGUUAAAACGGGGAUUAGAAUGAUAAAAAAUGUGCUUAGGGUACAGAUUCAUGGAAUGCUUGUAAAUUGCUGCUUGCAUUAAUCUCACCUAUAACAUCUGUAUACAGGUAAUAUGUGAGUGUUUGCACUGCAAGCCUCUGUAACUGUGUAAAUCACCAGCCAGGAGCGAAGCAUUAUCUAGUAUAAAAUACGAGUCUCCAACAGGUGUUAUGUCUGACUCCUGCCUGACAAAGAAGGCCCAUCAACACGAGAAGAACUAUUGUGGAACAUCAGAGGACAAAAGAGUUUGUUGCUUGCUUUCCCCCACACCUCAGGAAGAGGAAAGGUGCAAGUGAAUUCCUCCCAUUAGCUGAGUUUGCAACUUGAAGCAGAAGGGGGGAAGGAAUAAAAACCCUUCACAAGGAGGAACUGUAAUUUUA
rnacentral:lncRNA from 1 species